rnacentral:rRNA from 1 species
UGAGGAAUAUUGGUCAAUGGGCGAGAGCCUGAACCAGUCAAGUCGCGUGAAGGAAGACUGCCUUAUGGGUUGUAAACUUCUUUUAUACAGGAAUAAAAAGGCUUACGUGUAGGCCAUUGCAAGUACUGUAUGAAUAAGCAUCGGCUAACUCCGUGCCAGCAGCCGCGGUAAUACGGAGGAUGCGAGCGUUAUCCGGAUUUAUUGGGUUUAAAGGGUGCGCAGGCGGGCUUUUAAGUCAGCGGUGAAAUCUGGACGCUUAACGUCCAAACUGCCGUUGAAACUGGGAGUCUUGAGUAUGGAUGAAGUAGGCGGAAUUCGUUGUGUAGCGGUGACAUGCAUAGAUAUAACGAGGAACUCCGAUUGCGUAGGCAGCUUACUAAGCCAUAACUGACGCUCAUGCACGAAAGCGUGGGGAUCAAACAGGAUUAGAUACCCUGGUAGUCCACGCCGUAAACGAUGAUUACUAGUUGUAUGCGAUAUGAUAGUAUGUGACUAAGCGAAAGCGAUAAGUAAUCCACCUGGGGAGUACGCCGGCAACGGUGAAACUCAAAGGAAUUGACGGGGGUCAUAGCUGUUUUCCUG